UUGCAAUAUAGGGCUCCCAGCCCCGGGAGGUGACACCGCUGACUGGGACUUGGUCUUAGAGGGCAAAUUUCUUUCCAAGAGGAAGGACCCUGCGGGCAAGUCUUGGAAAGAGGGUGACCCAAGUUGGGGCAAGCCUGUAGGGCGGAAGGCUAUUAAGGACCCUUCAGUAACCUCUUCAACAAAGUUUGCUGAUCACCUACUGUGUGUCAGGUAGUGUCUUGGGCUCUCCAGCCGUGUUGUAGAUGAGGCCCUUGCUCUGCGAGGAGCUCACAGCUCAGCCUGCUGAGGACCCACUUAUGCGUCCUGGACUCCUCAUAACACUCCUGGGAGGUGAGAAUGAUCGUUCCCAUUUUACAGAUGUUCCCAAUUCCCCCCAGAUUGAUGGACGCUCCCUGACCAACUACUGCAAAGAUCAAAAACUUUUUUAAAGCACAUUAACAAUUUUCACACUAUUAAGUCUUUUUACACACCAAAUUGUUCAGAAGCACAAGGUGAACUGUCUAACAUGCAUUGUUGUAAAUUUUGCUUUUCAUAAUAAAAAACAUAUUCAAGGGACUUUCCUGGUACUCCAGUGGUUGCCAAUGCAAGGGAUUCGGGUUUGAUCUGGGGUCAGGGAAUUAAGAUGCCACAUGCCUUGGGGCAAGUAAGCCCAUGUGCCACAACUACUGAGUCUGUGCUCUAGAGCCUACGCUCGGCAGCUAGAGAGAAGCCCACGUGCCGUAACAAAGAGCCUGCAAGCUACAACAAAAGACUCCAUGUGCCACACAGCCAAACAAAUGAAUAUUUUGAAAAAACAUGUAGGAAUAAACCAGUUUUUAAAAAAUAUUCGAGGACCUCCCUGGUGGUACAGUGGCUAAGAAUCUCCUGCCUACGCUGGGGACACGGGUUCGAUCCCUGGUCUGGAAAGAUUCCACAAGUUUCAGGGCAGCUAAAGCCCAUGAGCUGAAACUACUGAAGCCCAUACACCUAGAGCCUGUGCUCUGCAACGAGAGCAACCACUGCAAUAA
ensembl:lncRNA